rnacentral:rRNA from 1 species
GGGUUGUGAGGUUAAGCGACUAAGCGUACACGGUGGAUGCCCUGGCAGUCAGAGGCGAUGAAGGACGUGCUAAUCUGCGAAAAGCGCCGGUAAGGUGAUAUGAACCGUUAUAGCCGGCGAUGUCCGAAUGGGGAAACCCAGUGUGACUCGUCACACUAUCAUUAACUGAAUCCAUAGGUUAAUGAGGCGAACCGGGGGAACUGAAACAUCUAAGUACCCCGAGGAAAAGAAAUCAACCGAGAUUCCCCCAGUAGCGGCGAGCGAACGGGGAGGAGCCCAGAGUCUGAAUCAGCUUGUGUGUUAGUGGAAGCGUCUGGAAAGUCGCGCGAUACAGGGUGACAGCCCCGUACACAAAAGCACACAGGCUGUGAGCUCGAUGAGUAGGGCGGGACACGUGGUAUCCUGUCUGAAUAUGGGGGGACCAUCCUCCAAGGCUAAAUACUCCUGACUGACCGAUAGUGAACCAGUACCGUGAGGGAAAGGCGAAAAGAACCCCGGCGAGGGGAGUGAAAAAGAACCUGAAACCGUGUACGUACAAGCAGUGGGAGCCUCUUGAUGGGGUGACUGCGUACCUUUUGUAUAAUGGGUCAGCGACUUAUAUUCUGUAGCAAGGUUAACCGAAUAGGGGAGCCGAAGGGAAACCGAGUCUUAACUGGGCGUUAAGUUGCAGGGUAUAGACCCGAAACCCGGUGAUCUAGCCAUGGGCAGGUUGAAGGUUGGGUAACACUAACUGGAGGACCGAACCGACUAAUGUUGAAAAAUUAGCGGAUGACCUGUGGCUGGGGGUGAAAGGCCAAUCAAACCGGGAGAUAGCUGGUUCUCCCCGAAAGCUAUUUAGGUAGCGCCUCGUGAAUUCAUCUCCGGGGGUAGAGCACUGUUUCGGCUAGGGGGCCAUCCCGGCUUACCAACCCGAUGCAAACUACGAAUACCGGAGAAUGUUAUCACGGGAGACACACGGCGGGUGCUAACGUCCGUCGUGAAGAGGGAAACAACCCAGACCGCCAGCUAAGGUCCCAAAGUCAUGGUUAAGUGGGAAACGAUGUGGGAAGGCCCAGACAGCCAGGAUGUUGGCUUAGAAGCAGCCAUCAUUUAAAGAAAGCGUAAUAGCUCACUGGUCGAGUCGGCCUGCGCGGAAGAUGUAACGGGGCUAAACCAUGCACCGAAGCUGCGGCAGCGACACUAUGUGUUGUUGGGUAGGGGAGCGUUCUGUAAGCCUGCGAAGGUGGCCUGUGAGGGUUGCUGGAGGUAUCAGAAGUGCGAAUGCUGACAUAAGUAACGAUAAAGCGGGUGAAAAGCCCGCUCGCCGGAAGACCAAGGGUUCCUGUCCAACGUUAAUCGGGGCAGGGUGAGUCGACCCCUAAGGCGAGGCCGAAAGGCGUAGUCGAUGGGAAACAGGUUAAUAUUCCUGUACUUGGUGUUACUGCGAAGGGGGGACGGAGAAGGCUAUGUUAGCCGGGCGACGGUUGUCCCGGUUUAAGCGUGAAGGUGUGUGCUCCAGGCAAAUCCGGAGUGCUUUAACACUGAGGCGUGAUGACGAGGCACUACGGUGCUGAAGUAACAAAUGCCCUGCUUCCAGGAAAAGCCUCUAAGCAUCAGGUAACACGAAAUCGUACCCCAAACCGACACAGGUGGUCAGGUAGAGAAUACCAAGGCGCUUGAGAGAACUCGGGUGAAGGAACUAGGCAAAAUGGUGCCGUAACUUCGGGAGAAGGCACGCUGAUAUGUAGGUGAAGCGACUUGCUCGUGGAGCUGAAAUCAGUCGAAGAUACCAGCUGGCUGCAACUGUUUAUUAAAAACACAGCACUGUGCAAACACGAAAGUGGACGUAUACGGUGUGACGCCUGCCCGGUGCCGGAAGGUUAAUUGAUGGGGUCAUCCGUAAGGAGAAGCUCUUGAUCGAAGCCCCGGUAAACGGCGGCCGUAACUAUAACGGUCCUAAGGUAGCGAAAUUCCUUGUCGGGUAAGUUCCGACCUGCACGAAUGGCGUAAUGAUGGCCAGGCUGUCUCCACCCGAGACUCAGUGAAAUUGAACUCGCUGUGAAGAUGCAGUGUACCCGCGGCAAGACGGAAAGACCCCGUGAACCUUUACUAUAGCUUGACACUGAACACUGGUCCUUGAUGUGUAGGAUAGGUGGGAGGCUUUGAAGCGUGGACGCCAGUCUGCGUGGAGCCAUCCUUGAAAUACCACCCUUUAAUGGCUGGUGUUCUAACGUGGACCCGUAAUCCGGGUUGCGGACAGUGUCUGGUGGGUAGUUUGACUGGGGCGGUCUCCUCCUAAAGCGUAACGGAGGAGCACGAAGGUCAGCUAAUCCUGGUCGGACAUCAGGAGGUUAGUGCAAUGGCAUAAGCUGGCUUGACUGCGAGCGUGACGGCGCGAGCAGGUGCGAAAGCAGGUCAUAGUGAUCCGGUGGUUCUGAAUGGAAGGGCCAUCGCUCAACGGAUAAAAGGUACUCCGGGGAUAACAGGCUGAUACCGCCCAAGAGUUCAUAUCGACGGCGGUGUUUGGCACCUCGAUGUCGGCUCAUCACAUCCUGGGGCUGAAGUAGGUCCCAAGGGUAUGGCUGUUCGCCAUUUAAAGUGGUACGCGAGCUGGGUUUAGAACGUCGUGAGACAGUUCGGUCCCUAUCUGCCGUGGGCGCUGGAGAAUUGAGGGGGGCUGCUCCUAGUACGAGAGGACCGGAGUGGACGCAUCACUGGUGUUCGGGUUGUCAUGCCAAUGGCACUGCCCGGUAGCUAAAUGCGGAAGAGAUAAGUGCUGAAAGCAUCUAAGCACGAAACUUGCCCCGAGAUGAGUUCUCCCUGAGACUUUAAGUCUCCUGAAGGAACGUUGAAGACGACGACGUUGAUAGGCCGGGUGUGUAAGCGCAGCGAUGCGUUGAGCUAACCGGUACUAAUGAACCGUGAGGCUUAACCUUACAACGCCGAAG